UACGAAGGGGGCUAGCGUUGCUCGGAAUCACUGGGCGUAAAGCGCACGUAGGCGGCUUUUUAAGUCAGGGGUGAAAUCCUGGAGCUCAACUCCAGAACUGCCUUUGAUACUGGCGAUCUUGAGUUCGGGAGAGGUGAGUGGAACUGCGAGUGUAGAGGUGAAAUUCGUAGAUAUUCGCAAGAACACCAGUGGCGAAGGCGGCUCACUGGCCCGAUACUGACGCUGAGGUGCGAAAGCGUGGGGAGCAAACAGG
rnacentral:rRNA from 1 species